CAGCGUCUAGUCCAUCUCCAACCCCCUUCAUCCCCAGCCGAGCCGCCAAGCACAAGCACGCAGGUGUCGCCGUCGUGCGGAUCCACGGUGGUCGCCGACGCAAAGCUGGCGGAGGGAGGGAGGGGAGGCGCCUAGCUCGGUCGGUUGCGCUUAGGGCCUACGGGCGCCGGAGCGGAGCCUCGCUGACGGCAACCUCGCAGAUGCAGCGCGCCGCCGCGUUGCUCUGCCGGUUCUUGGAAAUCCCCGAUGAACUUCAGCGAAGACUGGAGAAGCGGCGGGCAAAUCAUUGGCAAUGGAACACUAUAUGCUCUUUUUAUCCUGGUCAGUUAUGAUGAGAAUCACAACUCCAUGCUUCAGUAAUCUUUCAAGGUACAUGUAAGCAUGUUUGUCUGUACAUUUGCUCCUCUGGUUGGUUUCCUCAGAACAUAAUCAGUCUCCUUGAUUCCCAUGUAAUUAGAGUGAAGUCUCCUUUCGGUCUAACACUAGGAUCUGCUAGAAUUUCCCCCAAUGUCACCCUUAGCGAUUCCUCCUUGAUUGAAACAUCAAUUGUAUGAUGUGUCGUGCUAAGUGGACACAAAGCAAAGUCUGUUAUGUCCAGUGGAUGCCCUUGCUGUAUGGCCUAUUGGUUUCUGUUAGCAUAUCUUCUCCCCUUGUCCAAUAUGCAACGCCAAAACUGAACAUUGAGAUUCUUUCUCAACACAUCUGCGUACAAAUUUGUUGCGACAAUUGAACCUUCCAUAUUCUGCAACACCUUGACGAAUUCAUCUGCUAUUUGUACUAGCCAUGGAUGUUCUGCACGGUCUACACUUCCGAAUGCCAGCUUCUUGAAAAGGUACCUCAACUCGUCGUCAGACAGAAGGCUUAGGAAAAUUGGUUUCACUGAUCCAAACCGGGCUAAUCUUUUAAGUUUACUUAUGAUGAUGAUCUUCCUUCCUCUGCCCAUUGUUAUGACAAAUGAGUGAAACCUUUUCCAGUCAUCGUCACUUACAUCAGAAGCAAACUCAAUAACUAUCAAGAUCAUCCCUUCCAUGGUCCUUCCAUGGUCAAGUAUUCUCAAAAGGUUGUCUCCAUUCAAGUGCAGUACAGAGGAGAAGCUCGAGCGAACCCUUUCGUCGCCGCACAUAUGAGCAACCAAAGAUUUCUUCCCCGUUGUGGCAUCACCUAUGAUCGGAAGAACUGCCAGAGUAUGAUCUCCAGGAGGGCCUUUACGCUGCAACAAGAAGCUCAAGAGCUUUUGCUUUUCAGCGUGUCGGGCAAACAUGAAGUUGUCGGUGUAAAGAUAAACAUCAUAUGGCCUACGAGACAUACGCUCAAAUCCACCCAGAAGCACAGCAAAUUCUGCCAUGUUAGCAACAGCAAUUUCUAACCUUUCCAAGGCACCAUGUGACUCGAGGCACGUGGCCAUAUCAUUUGUUAUUCGUGAGCGCUUGGCUAUAUAUAAGUUGUUCCUAGAUGAGUCGUUGAUUCUAACCUCAUCGAAGCCGGCACUGUCUUGGAGGGCAUGGUACCUUGAGUUGUCCAGCACACGGUAUCCUCGGUACAUGGCCUCUGAGAGCGUCUUAAGCUGCAUCAUCAUCCCGGAGUUGGUUAUAUAUCGCGCGUCUGCCUCCUCAACGAUGGUGCCAGCUCUCAUCAGGAGGUGCUGCAACCUCUCCACCGCCUUCUCCUCCUCUGACCAGGCAUGGCUGAAGGAGUUGUACUUGUUCAUCAGGAAGGAGAUGAACUGGCUCACGAGUUCACCUGCAACUGCAGAUAUGGCAGUCUCCAUGGCUGGGAUUGAUGAGGUAAGCUGCUGGUUGGUCUCUGGACAAAUUAAAUUUGGCCUCUGCCAAGUCUUGUGGAGAUUCUUGGCAAAAUAGAAAAGUCUCCAUGGAUGACUUGGACUGUGACUGUGGACGGGUGACACACGGAUACUUGUCUAAAUGUCCAAACAUGUGACAAGGACAACCGAACUGCCAAAGCAGCAUCAUUCUUUUACCAGUAUUUCUAAUAUUCACGGUAGGUCCAAAUUGAUUAUUAUUCCAUUGCAAAAUGUAUAUUUAAUUUAUUUGGAUUUGUCUACCAUUGGAUUCCUUUUUCCAUUUUACAUAUGCGGCAAUGGCAUCCCACAUGUGUAGUGUACUAUUGCAACGUUUGACCAUGGAAACUGUUUGAGUUUUCGUAGAUGAACUUCAGUGAAGAAGCAGCGCCACAGCUCAUUGACAAGGAAAUUAUGAACUUUGGUGGAGAAGCAGCACCGCAACUCAUCGGCAAGGGACGAUAUGCGCCCUUUUAUCUUGUUUUGGAGGGCUAACCUCGUCGAAGCCUGCACUGUCUUGGAGGACUCGGUACCUUGAGGUAUCGAGCAGAUGUGACCUCGGUACAUGUCCUCUGAGAGGAUCUUGAGCUGCAUCAUCAUCCCAUAGUUGGUUAGGUAUCGGGUACCCGCCUCCUGGAUGACGGUGCCAACUCUCAUCAGGAGAAGCUGCAACCUCUCCACCACCUUCUGCUCCUCUGAUUGUGCAUGGAUGGACGAGCGGUACUUGUUCAUCAGGAAGGAGAUGAGGUUUGCUGCCAGUUGGUCUGUGGACAAAUUUGACUAGGCUGGCCUCUGCCAAGUCUUGAAGAGACUCCUGGCAAAAUAGACAACUGUCCAAGCAGGAUGAGAAAAAGACUGACCCACCAGUAUUUGUAAUAUUCACGAUGAACUUCAGAGGAGACUGGAGAAGAGGCGGGUAAAUCAUCUGCAAAGGAAUACGAUACAGGCCCUUUUUAUCUUGGUCAGUGACGACGAGAAUCACAACUCCAUACUUCUUCAGUAAUCUUUCAAGGGACUAGAGCAAUCACAGAAGCCCGAGACAUUCUGAAAUGGACCAAAAGUGCGUCGUCGUUGUAGCCCAAAACCCAACAUGAUGACCUCAGAGAGGGCCGCGCGGCCCAAGGUAAGUUCUUUGCCAAUGAGGCCCAAAAAGGGUGGCUUUUCUGCUCAUUUUCAGACAAGAGCUGUAAACCCGAACGUUGAUGGCUUUUUUUUUUUUUUUUUUGCGAAUCUGAACGUUGAUG